rnacentral:lncRNA from 1 species
UAAAUAACCAAAAAUAUAAUCCAAUACCUUCUACCUCAAAAUUUCGCAUCAGAUUCACCACUUAUCUUGUAUUAUGUGUUGUCUACCUUAGGAAUGCACCAUGCACCUAGCUAUGGAAGGUGAGAUCGUAUUUCACAAGUAGCCAAGAAAUCCUACUAGGUUUCACCCAUACGAGAAGAAUAUAAUCUAAAUUUUAAUUCAACAGUGCUUAAUAUACUUUUCUUAGUAUUCUUAAUUAUACAUAAAUCCCAAUUACAUUGUUACUUUCAUAUUUAAGCAAUUAAGAUUUUUCUUGUAAAUUCCAAUCUUAAUCAAUGAACUUUAAUAGGUUGUAACAUCCAAUCCGACUAUCCACUUGAUGUGGAAUUUUGCAUGCAAUUUUUAAUAUAAGUCUUCUAUAUGCUCAAGAAUUUUUAGCCCAAUCCAACUUACAAAUUGUGAGAAAACCUCCAAAAAUUGCAUUGAUGUCACUCAGCCACCAACUUCAAAAGCAUAGCAGAAAUCCUAGCAAUGAUUUUUUCCUUUCUAAUAAUUAACUUUGUCUCAAAAUUCGUAUGUAGCUUUAUCUUUAAGUCCUUCAACACUGUUCCAAUUUUCAUCCUAGUCCAACUAAUAGAUCUUUAGAUAUCAUAGAAAUCCUACUCAACCUCAAAUUGCCACUUUAUGAAAUCCUCUUGUACUAAAAAUUAGAUAUCUCAAAACCACGCCAUUAGAUUAUCAAAAAAAAAUUUAUAAACUUAGCACAUCCAAUAAUUCAAAUAGUAUCAAAUUUUUGAAUGUAGAUGUUAGACCAAUUGUACGAACUAGCCAAAAUUACUAGCUCAAAUUAUAUUAUAUAAAAUCCAAAUCACUGAUACAAAUCCUAACUUCGAAUAACAAUUGCUAAAUCUUGAAAAAUCCUCCAAAAAUAAUCCUUAU